UUGUCAUUAUACGCUGGAUUGCUAACAGCUGCCAGAGGUCACUGUCUCCAAUCUCCACACAUGCAGGAAGGAAAAGAUACCUUACUCCGUAUCAUCAGCAAAAACCUUUCCCUGGACACUUAUUGCUUAGAAGCUUGCCUGAAAAUGAAAGUCAUUGCCUGAUGAUGGAAGGACGAGAGGAAGGUGGACGAUCUGGCUUCUUGGGGCAAGGCAUUCCGAAGCCCGAGAGCAGUUACUAAGAAGGCCGUCUCUCAUGUCCUCACCAACCAAGUGUGGGAAGGCCUAGUUCCGGCCAUCAUCAGCUAUCCAGCCCUGCGUGUGAAGCAUCCCAUGGAAAUUAAAAGGUUUGUCCCUACUUUGGUGCAGAGGACCCUUUCAAAAUCCACCACUUUUAAGAUAAACAUAGACACUUGUGUGUGUUGUUAGAAAACUGGGAGAAGAAAUCAGGAAGCACAUACUAUUGUAUCAAAUGUAUACAUGCAUAUCGAUAACACAGAAGACAAAGAAAUCCACAUGAACUGAACAAAUGCACUGGAAACAGUUCUGGAAUUAAAGGCAGAAAUUCUUCUCAACUAAACCAGAAUGCUGGAUGAAUGGAUUGUGGGGUAAAUAGAAACAGGGAAUAAUUAAGGAAUAGACUAGAAUAAACCUUCUCUAAAUUUUUUGUUACUUGCAAACCCCUAUUUUAAGUCAUAUUUUGGGUGGCAAUGCAAAUAUGCUGAGGUUUCAGAUCAUUAAUAAUGUGGGAGACAGGUGCUGCCCUUGCUGAGAACUGGCUUUCUGAUGUCACCAUGUAAAAUGAAACUAAGUGAGAAGCAAUAAUUGGAAAGAAAGGGGCAGGUUCAAAGACAAAUCCAGUUCACACCAACAAUAUCUGCACUCCAACAUUCAAUAUAGUACAAAGAAUUUUAGAAUUAUUUCACAGGAAGGUGUGAAUUCAUCUCACCUCUAAUUUUCACGAUGUUAUUCCACUUCAAAAUUCCUGUCCAAAUGAACAAAGACAACACUUGCCAGAGGAGGAGAAGAGAAGGCAAAGUUUUAGCAACUUUGAGUACAGAAUUAAAAAUGAGUUUAUGGUUUCAUUCCAAUUUUUUCAUAUAUAAAGCCCUUGCCAUCACUUGGUUUGUUUUGCUUCUCAUAACAAAUAUGUUAUUAAGUCUCAUCUAUGACGUUUGGUUAGUGGUGUUUCUUAUUUUAAUCAAGUUUGCUCUUAUAAUUCUUGAUCUUGUUAUCCAUAGGACCACAUGGGUGCUAGUUACAGCUUGUAAAGCAUAUGGUAGUGCUUACAAUGUGAAUAAUAAAUUCUGAAUGCGCAGUUUGAAUUUUUAUCAUGUGCCACUUCAGCUUUCCAUUGGUUUUUUUUCUGUUUAGUAGAACUGUUAGAUACUGUUAUUAUAUGCUGCACUCUCCCAUAACUACAUUCUAUGGGGCUCUGCCAAUAAGUGACUGGCAUAAAACUGUGACAGGGAUUUUUUAAAAGAAAAAUUCUGCUUCUAAUCAUGGGGAAGCCACUGAAAUUUGAACUUCUGUCUUGGGGUAUGUUUAGGAUUGGAUGAGGUUAAAUGAAACUUAUUGGGGGACAACCUCCAUAAUACCCCCCCAUCCAGCCUUUCAUUAUCCUACCUGAAGAAUUUUCAUAACUGUAGUCCAUAAAUCCUCUGGACUACAAAGAUAUCAAACCUAUACAUUUUGAUGGAAAUCAA